rnacentral:rRNA from 1 species
CCCGAAACCCGGUGAUCUAGCCAUGGGCAGGUUGAAGGUUGGGUAACACUAACUGGAGGACCGAACCGACUAAUGUUGAAAAAUUAGCGGAUGACUUGUGGCUGGGGGUGAAAGGCCAAUCAAACCGGGAGAUAGCUGGUUCUCCCCGAAAGCUAUUUAGGUAGCGCCUCGUGAAUUCAUCUCCGGGGGUAGAGCACUGUUUCGGCAAGGGGGUCAUCCCGACUUACCAACCCGAUGCAAACUGCGAAUACCGGAGAAUGUUAUCACGGGAGACACACGGCGGGUGCUAACGUCCGUCGUGAAGAGGGAAACAACCCAGACCGCCAGCUAAGGUCCCAAAGUCAUGGUUAAGUGGGAAACGAUGUGGGAAGGCCCAGACAGCCAGGAUGUUGGCUUAGAAGCAGCCAUCAUUUAAAGAAAGCGUAAUAGCUCACUGGUCGAGUCGGCCUGCGCGGAAGAUGUAACGGGGCUAAACCAUGCACCGAAGCUGCGGCAGCGACGCUGAUGCGUUGUUGGGUAGGGGAGCGUUCUGUAAGCCUGCGAAGGUGUACUGUGAGGUAUGCUGGAGGUAUCAGAAGUGCGAAUGCUGACAUAAGUAACGAUAAAGCGGGUGAAAAGCCCGCUCGCCGGAAGACCAAGGGUUCCUGUCCAACGUUAAUCGGGGCAGGGUGAGUCGACCCCUAAGGCGAGGCCGAAAGGCGUAGUCGAUGGGAAACAGGUUAAUAUUCCUGUACUUGGUGUUACUGCGAAGGGGGGACGGAGAAGGCUAUGUUGGCCGGGCGACGGUUGUCCCGGUUUAAGCGUGUAGGCUGGUUUUCCAGGCAAAUCCGGAAAAUCAAGGCUGAGGCGUGAUGACGAGGCACUACGGUGCUGAAGCAACAAAUGCCCUGCUUCCAGGAAAAGCCUCUAAGCAUCAGGUAACAUCAAAUCGUACCCCAAACCGACACAGGUGGUCAGGUAGAGAAUACCAAGGCGCUUGAGAGAACUCGGGUGAAGGAACUAGGCAAAAUGGUGCCGUAACUUCGGGAGAAGGCACGCUGAUAUGUAGGUGAAGUCCCUCGCGGAUGGAGCUGAAAUCAGUCGAAGAUACCAGCUGGCUGCAACUGUUUAUUAAAAACACAGCACUGUGCAAACACGAAAGUGGACGUAUACGGUGUGACGCCUGCCCGGUGCCGGAAGGUUAAUUGAUGGGGUCAGCGCAAGCGAAGCUCUUGAUCGAAGCCCCGGUAAACGGCGGCCGUAACUAUAACGGUCCUAAGGUAGCGAAAUUCCUUGUCGGGUAAGUUCCGACCUGCACGAAUGGCGUAAUGAUGGCCAGGCUGUCUCCACCCGAGACUCAGUGAAAUUGAACUCGCUGUGAAGAUGCAGUGUACCCGCGGCAAGACGGAAAGACCCCGUGAACCUUUACUAUAGCUUGACACUGAACAUUGAGCCUUGAUGUGUAGGAUAGGUGGGAGGCUUUGAAGUGUGGACGCCAGUCUGCAUGGAGCCGACCUUGAAAUACCACCCUUUAAUGUUUGAUGUUCUAACGUUGACCCGUAAUCCGGGUUGCGGACAGUGUCUGGUGGGUAGUUUGACUGGGGCGGUCUCCUCCUAAAGAGUAACGGAGGAGCACGAAGGUUGGCUAAUCCUGGUCGGACAUCAGGAGGUUAGUGCAAUGGCAUAAGCCAGCUUGACUGCGAGCGUGACGGCGCGAGCAGGUGCGAAAGCAGGUCAUAGUGAUCCGGUGGUUCUGAAUGGAAGGGCCAUCGCUCAACGGAUAAAAGGUACUCCGGGGAUAACAGGCUGAUACCGCCCAAGAGUUCAUAUCGACGGCGGUGUUUGGCACCUCGAUGUCGGCUCAUCACAUCCUGGGGCUGAAGUAGGUCCCAAGGGUAUGGCUGUUCGCCAUUUAAAGUGGUACGCGAGCUGGGUUUAGAACGUCGUGAGACAGUUCGGUCCCUAUCUGCCGUGGGCGCUGGAGAACUGAGGGGGGCUGCUCCUAGUACGAGAGGACCGGAGUGGACGCAUCACUGGUGUUCGGGUUGUCAUGCCAAUGGCACUGCCCGGUAGCUAAAUGCGGAAGAGAUAAGUGCUGAAAGCAUCUAAGCACGAAACUUGCCCCGAGAUGAGUUCUCCCUGACUCCUUGAG